rnacentral:rRNA from 1 species
AUGGACCGCUCUCCGGUGAACGGCGUACCGGCGCCGCAGCCUCCGCCACCUCCCCCGAGCCGCUGCCACUUCUGGCUCCCCAACAAACGCCGCCACUGCGCCAACUCCCCGCUCUCAUCUUCCCAGUACUGCGGGAACCACUCGCCGGAGUCCUCCUCUGACUCGCGCCGCCGCGUCCCCUGUCCCGUCGACCCCUCCCACACGGUGUUCGAGGGGAACCUGGAGGCUCACAUCGGCAAGUGCCCCUUCAGGAAGCAUGCCGACGCGCUGGCCGCGCAGCCGUACUACUCCAAGGUUAUCAACUCUGGCGGGGGAAUGGCCGGUGUCGCCGCGGUCACCUCCGCCGCCAAGCGCGCCUCCGUGCACAAGCUCUCCGAGGAGGAAUUCUGGGCCUUGGUUGCGAAGAUCCGGUCGGCGCACGCGGCGGCGGCCGUCCAAAUGCGCGAGUCUUACAUUGCCCUGGACGCCUGUGAUAAGUGGAUGAAGGGACAAGUUGAUAGGAAUGUGCCGUAUCAGGAGAAGCACGUUGUGCAGCAGGUGUCGAUCGUGGGGAACAUGGAGACAUUUGGUUUGCUGCCGAGAGGUGGUGCUGAGGAUGCAACGAAGGAGACCGCGUUGAAGAAUGCUCCGGCAGUUGUUGAAUUUGGUGCUGGGAGGGGUUACUUGACUCAGAUGUUGGCAGACUGUUAUGGGAUCAAGAAUAUCUUCUUGGUCGAGAGACGAUCGUACAAGCUCAAGGCUGAUCGAAGUUUAAGGCAAAAUGAGGGUGUUAAAUUGGAGCGUUUGAGGAUAGAUAUUGAGGAUUUGAGCUUGCGUGGAGUAAAAGCGUUGAGUGGAAGUCAGUAUCUAGCAAUCGGAAAACAUCUAUGUGGGCCUGCAACAGAUAUGACCAUAAUGUGCUGUCUUCAUGAACUACACAAUCGUACAGAAGAGAAAGGCCACGACAAGCAUCAUCUCCGGGGCCUUGCUUUAGCCACCUGCUGCCAUCAUCUUUGCCAAUGGAAGCAUUAUGCAAAUAAAGCUUUCCUCUCUGGACUAGGGAUUGCGGAGGAAGAGUUCCAUGCCAUGACAUGGUUUAGCAGUUGGGCUGUGGAUGGUGACCACAGCUCCCAGGACUCUUUGGAGUCUGAAGACUCAUCUUCUGAAGUAAUCAGAGUAACCGAGAAGCCUGAUCCGGAGAUCGUUGGAGUCGAGAGGAUCAUCCGCGGUAUACCGGGUGUGGAGAGGAGCGCACUGGGAUUCAUGUGCAAAGAUGUCAUUGACACCGGGAGGCUGCUAUGGCUUAGAUCCAAGGGUCUAGAUGCAGACCUCGUAAGCUAUGUUCCGUCAGAUGUUUCGCCGGAGAACCAUUUGCUCAUGGCCAAGUGUAGGUCUUGA